rnacentral:lncRNA from 1 species
CUCUAGAUACAUGAAUCCUACCUAAAUUGACAUCAUCACAGCUUAUACUUUUAUCUAUGUUUUUAUUCAUUUCAAAGCAAACCAAAUAGACUAACCACAAACACCAUUGAAAUAUGCUGCUCAGGAAUGAUGUUGCUAGCUAUGGGAAUAGCAUUAUAGUUGCAAACAACUCACGCGUAGCUAGAUAGAGUUCCUUGGCAAGUUGCAUUCACUCCUCUGGACUUGGCCCAGUGUUUCAC